rnacentral:piRNA from 1 species
UGUUUGUUCACAGUUAGGGUU